rnacentral:misc_RNA from 1 species
GAUGAAGAACGCAGCGAAAUGCGAUACUUGGUGUGAAUUGCAGAAUCCCGUGAACCAUCGAGUCUUUGAACGCAAGUUGCGCCCCCUGGUAUUCCGGGGGGCAUGCCUGUCCGAGCGUCAUUGCUGCCCUCAAGCACGGCUUGUGUGUUGGGCCUCCGUCCUCCUCCCGGGGGACGGGCCCGAAAGGCAGCGGCGGCACCGCGUCCGGUCCUCGAGCGUAUGGGGCUUCGUCACCCGCUCUUGUAGGCCCGGCCGGCGCUUGCCGACACAUCAAUCUUUUUUCCAGGUUGACCUCGGAUCAGGUAGGGAUACCCGCUGAACUUAAGCAUAUCAAUAAGCGGAGGA